GAGUUGUCUUUGAGUAGGGGGCGGGGAGACCGAGGAACUACUUAAGAUGGGUACUUCGGGAACCGGAGUAUACCGGUAAUAUUUCGACCGAUGGUCGAUAGUGAAAGUGGUUUGCUAUCACUUAUAGUGGACCUGCGCCGUAUUAGCUAGUUGGAAGGUAACGGCUUACCAAGGCAACGAUACGUAGCCGACCUGAGAGGGUGAUCGGCCACACUGGAACUGAGACACGGUCCAGACUCCUACGGGAGGCAGCAGUAGGGAAUCUUCCGCAAUGGGCGAAAGCCUGACGGAGCAACGCCGCGUGAGUGAUGAAGGUCUUCGGAUCGUAAAACUCUGUUAUUAGGGAAGAACAAACGUGUAAGUAACUGUGCACGUCUUGACGGUACCUAAUCAGAAAGCCACGGCUAACUACGUGCCAGCAGCCGCGGUAAUACGUAGGUGGCAAGCGUUAUCCGGAAUUAUUGGGCGUAAAGCGCGCGUGAGGGUCGGUCUUUUUAUAAUAGUCUCUGAAUGUGAAAAGCCCCACGGGCUCAUACCGUCGGAGGGUCCAUUGGAAACUAGGAAAUCUUGAGUGCAGAAGAAGGGAAAGUGGAAUUCCCAUGUGUAGCGGUGAAAUGUGCAGAGAUAUGGGAGGGAACACCGGUGGCGAAGGCGACUUUCUGGUCUGUAUCUGACGCUGAUGUGCGAAAGCGUGGGGAUCAAACAGGAUUUAGAUACCCUGGUAGUCCCACGUCCGUAAACGAAUGAGUCGCCUAAGCUGCUUAGGGGGGGGUUUUCCUGUCCCCCUUUAGUGGCUGCCAGCUAACGGUCAAUUUAAGCACUCCGCCUGGGGAGUACGACCGCAAGGUUGAAACUCAAAGGAAUUGACGGGGACCCGCACAAGCGGUGGAGCAUGUGGUUUAAUUCGAAGCAACGCGAAGAACCUUACCAAAUCUUGACAUCCUUUGACCCUUCUAGAGAUAGAAGUUUCCCCUUCGGGGGACAAAGUGACAGGUGGUGCAUGGUUGUCGUCACCUCGUGUCGUGAGAUGUUGGGUUAAGUCCCGCAACGAGCGCAACCCUUAAGCUUAGUUGCCAUCAUUAAGUUGGGCACUCUAAGUUGACUGCCGGUGACAAACCGGAGGAAGGUGGGGAUGACGUCAAAUCAUCAUGCCCCUUAUGAUUUGGGCUACACACGUGCUACAAUGGACAAUACAAAGGGCAGCGAAACCGCGAGGUCAAGCAAAUCCCAUAAAGUUGUUCUCAGUUCGGAUUGUAGUCUGCAACUCGACUACAUGAAGCUGGAAUCGCUAGUAAUCGUAGAUCAGCAUGCUACGGUGAAUACGUUCCCGGUUUCUUGUACACGCCGCCCGUCACACCACGAGAGUUUGUAACACCCGAA
rnacentral:rRNA from 1 species